CUCCCUGCCAGGGAAAAGACACCAGCAAUUAAGCGUGGGUGCUGUGGGUUUUUCCAGUUGUCUGGCCAUAUUCCAGCAGCAUUUUCUUCUGACGUUUGGCCUGAAUCUGUGGCUAAUGACAUCCUCAGAGGUUCUGUUGGCAGUGAGGCAAGUGGAGUCAGAGGCGGUUCAACCGUGAGGCGAACCAGGCACUUCUCUAGGCCCACACCUAUGGCAGGCAUCCUCAGAGGUUCUGAGUUCUGUUGGAAGCUAGAACCUCUGAAGAUGCCGUUUAACCACAGACGCAGGCGAAACAUCAGGAGAGAAUGCUACUGGAACAUGGCUAGUGAUUUAGCCCCAUCUCAGCGCCAUAGCCCUUCCUGUUCUACCUGGCCAGCUUGGCGUAACGCCGCACGUACUCCCCUCCCAGCGGCUCGGCCAGACUCAGCGUCUCCUCGGUACUUUUCCCGAUGAAAUCGAAGGCUUCGGGGAGGAAGACGGCGCAGGCCCCGCGACCGGACGCUUCCCGCACGAAACGGGAGCACGAGGCCCAGUUGCGCUCCUUGUCCGGAGUGGAGGUCACUUGGCAGACCGCAACGAGCGGCUUGGAGGCCAUGAGAUGGACUCUGCGGAAGAGAUCGGGCCUACACUGUGGAAUUAAUGUGGUUUGCGUGUUUCCAUCUGGCACUGCGUUGGACUGGAUGGCCUUUGGGGUCACUUUCAACUCUAGGAUCCUAUUCAUUCAUUUAGUCAUUCAUUCUUCAAAUGUAAUUUAUUCCAAUUGGACUCCAGCCGAAGGUUUAUUGACCGGAAGGAAGGCUACUAACUGACUGACAUUCAUUCGUGGUGGGUUUCUGCCUGGGUUUGGGUUGGACUGGAUGGCCUUUGGGGUCCCUUCCAACUCUAGGAUCCUAUAAUUUAUUCAUUGUGUGUUUUUCCCUAGCAUUGGGUUGGACUAGAUGGCCUUUGGGGUCCCUCCCAUCUCCAGGAUUCUAUUAUUCAUCCAUUCGUUCAUGGUGUGUUUCUGCCUGGCUUUGGGUUGGACUGGAUGGCCUUUGGGGUCGCUUCCAACUCUAGGAUCCUAUUCAUUCAUUCAGUCAUUCAUUCUUCAAAUGUAAUUUAUUCCAAUUGGACUCCAGCCGAAAGUUUAUUGACCGAAAGGAAGGCUACUAACUGACUGACAUUCAUUCGUGGUGGGUUUCUGCCUGGGUUUGGGUUGGACUGGAUGGCCUUUGGGGUCCCUCCCAUCUCUAGGAUCCUAUAAUUUAUUCAUUGUGUGUUUUUCCCUAGCAUUGGGUUGGACUGGAUGGCCUUUGGGGUCCCUCCCAUCUCUAGGAUCCUAUAAUUUAUUCAUUGUAUGUUUUUCCCUAGCAUUGGGUUGGACUGGAUGGCCUUUGGGGUCCCUUCCAACUCUAGGAUCCUAUAAUUUAUUCAUUGUGUGUUUUUCCCUAGCAUUGGGUUGGACUGGAUGGCCUUUGGGGUCCCUCCCAUCUCUAGGAUCCUAUAAUUUAUUCAUUGUAUGUUUUUCCCUAGCAUUGGGUUGGACUGGAUGGCCUUUGGGGUCCCUUCCAACUCUAGGAUCCUAUAAUUUAUUCAUUGUAUGUUUUUCCCUAGCAUUGGGUUGGACUGGAUGGCCUUUGGGGUCCCUUCCAACUCUAGGAUCCUAUAAUUUAUUCAUUGUGUGUUUUUCCCUAGCAUUUUAUUUAUUUAUUUACUACCUUUAUAUCCCGCUCUUCUCACCCCGAAGGGGAUUCAGAGCGGCUUACAAAUCAAAUGAACAUACAAUAUAUUAUUAGCACAGCACAAUAUAAGCAUUAAAUUACUAUAUUGUACUAUA